rnacentral:rRNA from 1 species
CUCCAGCCCCUCAUUGAUCGGAUCGCGGCGCAGCUACCGACAUGGAAAGUUGCCCUUCUUCGCCGGGCUGGCAGGCUCACCUUGGUGAACUGCAGGCUCUCGGCUAUGCCAAUCUUCCAUUUGAUGGCGCUUGACUUACCACCAUGGUUUUUCAAGUGCAUUGACAAGCUUCGGAGGGGUUUCUUCUGGCGUGGGGUAGAGGAUGCCAAGGGGGGCUACUGCCUGGUAGCAUGGCAGAUCGUCUGCUCGCCCAAGCCAUACGAUGGACUGGGGGUGCUCAACUUGAGGUUGCUCAAUUAGGCUCUGAGUUUGCGCUGGCUCUGGCUACAAAAGACCGCGUUGGACACGCCCUGGAACGGCCUGAACGCAGCCGUCUCGGACGAGGCCGCAGGGCUAGGCAGCGCAGUGCUGCGGUGCGUCCUAGAGGACGGACGUAGCAUCAGCUUCUGGCUUGACCUGUGGCUGGAUGGCCGCUCCCUGGCGCAGCGGGCGCCCAAACCUACUCGCGUGCGUUAG